GACGAACGCUGGCGGCGUGCUUAACACAUGCAAGUCGAACGGUAAGGCCCUUCGGGGUACACGAGUGGCGAACGGGUGAGUAACACGUGGGUGAUCUGCCCUGCACUUCGGGAUAAGCCUGGGAAACUGGGUCUAAUACCGGAUAGGACCACUGCCUGCAUGGGUGGUGGUGGAAAGCUUUUGCGGUGUGGGGUGGGCCCGCGGCCUAUCAGCUUGUUGGUGGGGUGAUGGCCAACCAAGGCGACGACGGGUAGCCGGCCUGGGAGGGUGACCGGCCACACUGGAACGGGGAUACGGCCCAGACUCCUGCGGGAGGAAGCAGUGGGGGAUAUUGCACAAUGGGCGCAAGCCUGAUGCGGCGACGCCGCGUGAGGGAUGACGGCAUUCGGGUUGUAAACCUCUUUCAGCACCGACGAAGCGCAAGUGACGGUAGGUGCAGAAGAAGGACCGGCCAACUACGUGCCAGCCGCCGCGGUAA
rnacentral:rRNA from 1 species